AACGACUGCUAAUACCGCAUAUGUCUACGGACCAAAGGGGGNUCCUUCGGACCUCNNNNANUNUGAUUAGCCCAAGUGAGAUUAGCUAGUUGGUAAGGUAAUGGCUUACCAAGGCGACGAUCUCUAGCUGGUUUGAGAGGAUGAUCAGCCACACUGGGACUGAGACACGGCCCAGACUCCUACGGGAGGCAGCAGUGGGGAAUAUUGCACAAUGGGGGAAACCCUGAUGCAGCCAUGCNGCGUGUGUGAAGAAGGCCUUCGGGNNGUAAAGCACUUUCAGUUGUGAGGAAAGGUGUGUAGUUAAUAGCUGCAUACUGUGACGUUAACUACAGAAGAAG
rnacentral:rRNA from 1 species